AGUGUGCAUCGAUGCUCAGUAAAUUGGCAAAUAUAGACCGCAAUGCAUUGCAUUUGAAAAUAUUUUCAUGUGAAAAAAUAUAUAUAUUCAAAAACCAUCCAGAUUUUCAUCUUCAGAACAGAGUGGAUUUACCAAUAGUCUUUUUAAAAUUAUCUUUCUGGGGGGGAAAUCAACAACAUCAUAGAUGCUGUUUAAAAAGAAAAAAGAAUCCAAAUCCAGGGCACUAGAGAGUCCCACUAGAGAGUCUCACAGUUUUUUAGUAGUUAGGGAGCAGAAAGGGAAUUCGGAUAUAACCGAAAUGACAAAGUUAAAUAAUUUGGACUAUGUUUGUGCAUUAGAAUUGACUCAUCUGUAGUCAAGCACCAAACGAUAGUUACAUGUUUAGAGAAUUUACUGCACCAAAUAUGAUCAACUUUUCAUCUUUUUAAUUGCACAACACAACUAAACCCUCACCUGGACCAGGUGUAUUGUUUGUAGCUAUCCUCUGAUCUCUAUUACACAGGGCAGCCAUUUUGUUGACUCACUUCUAGAUUUAAAAAAGCUGUAGUUCCACUGCAGUCCAGCAGAGGGAGAAGCUUUGCUUACAGUCAAAAUGGACGCUCCUGGACUCAAUAAAUACUUUCCACUAUCUCAUCAACUGCAGUCUGUGUCAUUGCUAGCUCCUUGCACGUACCUACUACAAAAAACAUGUGAUAGGAGUACGAGUGUGUUGCUGCACUCUUCCUUGCCUGAUGGUUUUUUCCCUCUCGCACACUCAUGCACACCAGACAUGGACUGCAGUGGUAGUCUAAGGAAAGGCAGCCUUCAGAUCAGAUCUGUGUGUCUUUAAUGAGCUUCUUGCAUGGAUACAGGUAGACAAGCAAUGCACUUCUAACAUGUCAGAGCAAUGUUAAAUGCCUUAAGUAACAUUAAGAUUUGUUUGCACAAGAGACUACUCUACUGAUGGAACACUUGCAUGCGAAAAUGCAGGCAUCUGUAUUCGAAAACAGCAAAAAGAUUAGAAAAAUAAACCAUAGACUGCUGUGCUUAUGCAUUUUAUUCAUAUUAAAGUGGUGAAAAACAAACUUACAAGCAAGAAAUUGUAUUUGUUCAAAGCUAAGCAAAUGUUUUAUGCUCUGCCUGGGAAAAUAAAAGGAUACAAACAGGAUUCUAUUACCUUUUCAGUCCUGCUGCGGAGUUCUGGCCUAGCGAAGUUAAUAUUUUACUAGAAAAAAAAAACAAUUAAAAGAAUGUUUAUGUAAAUCUAUAUUUAUUCUGUCAAUAAUUGGAUGGUCUUGUGUUUCUGCCAAAACGUUAUGAACCUUAGUCAUGUUUCCUUCAUCUGCGCUGCCUCUUUGACCUUUCUAUGUGGGAGAUUUUUACUUUUUUUCGAAUUACCGUAACUCUUCUUACCCUGACGCAAUUAUUGUAAUUCUAGCAUUUUUUUUGAAGGGGAGAAAAGUGACCUUGUGGUAAUAUGCACACUCUUUAGUAGAGAGGUUCUUACUCAAUCCGUGUAAGUCCACUGAUUUUUGUUGUAGAGAAUAGUGGCUUUGCGUCAUUAUGCAAUACUCAUCUUCGUAAAGUGCAUACCCGAUAUGAAAAGCCAUUCUUCUCUGCAUCAGAAUCAAUUUAUUCAAGUCGAUCACGUAAACAAUCAAAGAUUUCUGAUAUGCCGAAGACCUUGUGCUGUUUUGGUGUCCCAUGGGACAUCUCCGGUUUUACAGGGUCAACGAAUCUGCUUCUGGGAAGUUUUCUUGUAAAUUUGUCCCCAGCAACUGUCACUACCAGUUCCCAUGAAUCACUUCAGACAAAAUAUGCAACUGAUUUAUGUCAAAAGUGUGGCUGCUUCUGCAAAACAACUAUUUAAAAGAUGACCAAGACAUCUAAAAGGAAGGAAAGUAUGGAAAUGACUUUUGACUCAAGAUACACUAUCCUUGCCAAAACUUCCUCUGAAUUUUUUAUUUUACAGAAUAGAACUUAAACCCCUCCAUGAUAUCUUUAUUUGUCUUUAGUCCAUAAAGAAACACCACCAGAAUGGCUUCUAAAACAUAUUGCGGUAUAUUCACAUUAAAACGACUUUAAAUGUCGUACAGAAUGUUACCCAAACAUGAAGACUUUUGCAAUUUGAUUGUAAAGACUUUUUUUUUUUUUAAUUGUCUCAUACAAAUGGCUCUGCAUUACUUUUGUCUCUGCUGUCAGUCUCCAACCACAGAGCCUCUGGUUUCUUAGCUGCACACUAGCCCUCCAACAUUUUUGUUUUUGCUUUAAAAAAAAAAAGAACAGCUACAAAAAGAAAAAGUGCUGAAUGCUACUGUUGCAAUUAGGCCACACCCACAUUGUGGGACAGUGGCUCAUGGAAAAAUACUGGAACGUACCAUUUCUGACUACAGGGGGGAAUACAUUUUUAAGAAAUCACUUUGUUGCCAUUUAGUUUUAACAAAUUUGUUUUCUCUCACAUUUUUUCUAAAUUACAGAAUAAUUUCAUUGUUUGAGCUUUUUUUUUGUAAUAAGCAUUAAAGUAACAAACAUUUUAGUCAAAUUAAGUUUUAUCUAAUUUCAAAGUCUGUCUUAAAGCUUCAUGAUUUACACAAAGAAUAACAAAUUUCUCUUUUUUUAAUUUGUUUGUUUCAUUUAAAGUUCUACAAAGAACAAAGCAUCAGUCAAAAACUGCCUUCCUGUGUGCCCCUCCCCCAAAACAGCUCCUCUGUAGUCUGCUGGUUCAGCCGGCUGUGUGUUUUGGCACCAACGCAUAAAAUCAACACAUCAUACACAUGCGCGCACAGACUCUACCUAUGAUAUACGCCUAUGAACACUGAACAAAAGAGGUGCCCACCGAACGUGGUGGAUGACAUGUAAAGCAGCAUCUCUGCUAAAGGAUUGUGAAGAUUUAUAUUUUAUUUUAAACAAUAACUUUAACUUGUGCUUAUUAUGUCUACCUUUAAUUCACCAGACAGCGAGUUGAAAACACAAAACAGCUAACAACUUGUCAGUUGAAAUUAGGCCCCACCCACGCUCUGGGCUCUGUUUCCUGGAAAAUUACUGGAGCAUACCAUUAUUUUACAGGGGGAGAAGCUUAAAAUUGAUAUUCUCUCUUUUCUGAUCUUUUUUUUCCUGCUGUUUUUAAGCUAUUUAUAGAUAAUGCUAUUUUUUAGAGACAUUGCUCACAAAUUAAUUAUAAAUCCUUUUCAUCCUUGCUUAAAAAAAAAUAACACUAAAUUUUGAUGUCUAAAGCUCAACAUAUAUACACGUAUGUUAAAAAAAAUACAUUUUGUUCUGUUUUUAUUUUUUUUAAAUGUCCUUAAAAUAAGAAAGGAACAAAUUGUGGCUUCCUGUGUGCCCCUCCCCCAAGCAGUCGUUUCUGCAGUGUGAUGGCUACAAUAGAUGUGUGUAGACUAGAGUGACUGCUACACUCUUGUUUGGUUUGAAAAGAUAAGCAUUUAAAUCGUGCUUAAAAACACACAAGCACACCCGUAAAACUGUAUUGGCCCAUUAGGUUUGUAAACAGAAUUUGACAUGUUUAACAUAUAGACAAAUGUAAAAAAAAAAUAAAAAAUAAGGGAUAGCGGCGUGAGAGAGCCAAAUGCUAAUUAAUAUUUGAUGUUUCAUUGUGUUUUUCUGUUUGGUAUAACUAAGGAUGAAUUUCCUGUUUUCACUAUUUUUGAUGUUUAACGUAACAUUAUACAUUUUUAACUACAUUACCCAACUUUUCUGGACACAGAAGGUAAAGGUGACUGAGAAAAAUAAAUACAUUAAAAAAGAAAGAACAAAAUUAAGUGAAAAUCUCGAACCAUGUUUCUUUAUUUUUUCACAGGAGGAUUUGUUAAAGGUUAUCAUUCUUAGCUCUAUUGUGUUAAAACUGAAUUGAUCUCGUGAUUGAAUAAGAGUGCGUGAAGUGUGUUGUUUCUCUAUUGCUGUUUGUUGGACUCGUGACCUGCCCCGGCUGUUUUCUGCCUGUUGCUCAACAACGUCUCGGAUUGGCUCCAGCAGAUCCACGUCACUCAGGAACAGCUGUGGUAGGCGGGGAAAGUACACCAGGAAUAGAGAUCCUUAUGCAUAAACACCAUUAAAUGACUUAGAAUCUGAAGUCUUUGUUCCUUUAACUGCGGUACUUAUCUCAUCUCAUCAGUUGCAGAAAAGACAAGAGAUCCUACAAAAAACAGGAUUUGUCUUUGAAGUUAAGCCCCACCCACAUUUUAGAACAAUGUAGGUCAUGGAAAAUAACUGGAAUGAACUAUUUCAUGAGGGGGGUUAAAUACAAGUGUAACCAAUGUAGCUGUUUGCCUCUAUACUUUUACUCAUUUUUGAACUUUUUUACACUUAAACCUUUUAUUUAACCGUCAAGUUUUAGUUGUGUAACAAUUUUUUAGAGUUUGAAAGCCUAUCUUAAAAAAAGAUAUAUUUAGAACAUUUGCCUCCACAUCUGUAUUCAAAGCGUGUGAAAUAAACAGUGAUUGCAUGAUUGAUUUUUUUUUUUUAUUCCCACAGGGCGAACAAAAGAAAAGACAAGCAGAUAUGAAUUUUUUGUUUUUUUUCUCUUCCAUUCUGUCAACCACACAGAGUACUUUGAGCUCAAAUGAGCAUGUUUCUUCUUUUCAUACAAAUGUUUGUGUCAGGAGGAGUGAAUAAAUAUCGGACAUGUAUACCUUUUCAUAGGAUCACGUGGGUAAGUAACUCAGUCCGAUUGCAUCACAUUUCCUCGUGUUCUAACAAAUUUAUGCUGCCAACAAGCCACACCCACAUUCUAGGAAUCCAUGAGAGAUUUCUGGGUUGUACCAUUUCAAAAAGAGGGGAGGAUGAGUUUACAGGGUAAAAAAAAACUGUCACAGCUUUUUCCUCAGAUUUUCCAUGAUUACAUUUUAACGCUAUUUUAGGUAUCAUUGUUCGUGAUGAGAUCAAUUCAUAUAUUUUUUAUUUUGAAAAUUUGAAUCAAAAAAGCUAGUAUAUGGUAAAGAAAAUAAAAAGCCCAUUUUCAUAAAACAAAAAAAAUCAUGAUUUUUCUGUGCCCCUCUCCUCCCUCUCACUGCAUAAUCUAAAGUGUGCUGAGGUUUUUUCUGUGGGUAUUAACACAGCGUAAUUAGCAUGAUAAAUUGCUUUAUUAAAAAGUCGAGCAUUUUAUUGAUGCAUAAUACAUAGGGCAAAGCAUUUGGUUUCUCCAAGGAACUAAUAACUUGUGGAAUAAGAAGUCCACUGUUAUAGUUUCUUGGCCCCUUUUCACACCACGGCGCAUGAUCGUUGGCACCUUCACUUCAAUAGAUGAGACCUUCACGCGUUAAUUUUUCAUGUCUUAUCCACAUUUUCUCCCUAUACUCUACAAUCUUAACUCAUGCCAGCUAUUUGUUCAUCCUUAACCCAUUGGUGUAUAUACGUAUCAAACCACAUAGGCUUCAAAAUUACCUUAAUUUAGCAACUAUUUGAAAGCAAGUGAUUUUUUCUUCCCAUAGCUGGAAAUAAAUUAAGGCGUCAAGGGGUUUUAAGGAACGGAAACAUUAGAGUUAACUAAAAAGAGGGUUAGUUUUUUUCCCAUUAAUUGCUGUCAAAGGGAGCCACCAGAAAACAAAAAACAGGUCAACAACUCAACUUCUUUGGCCUAGGGAUGUAGGGAGUGGGGGUUGACUUGAUGAUGUAUCAUCUGGGAAUACUUGUAUUGAUUUAAAAUCUUGACAAGAUGUUAUUUAAUUAAUUCUUUAUGAGCAAACGUAGUUUAGAGUUUUAUUUUGUUAUCCAAUCAACCCCCUGACCACUUAUUGGCACUCUGAAUCUACUUGGGUAAAAGAAACUUGUAGCCAAUAUGAGAUACAGUUGCUCUGUUUAAUGUUGUGAUCAUUAAAGGAUAACCAAACCCUAAAUCAACUUUUUUUGGCUGUUGAUCUUUAUGAAUGGGGUUUUAAAAGUGCUGCCUGUUGGUCAUUGCCAAAUUAAAAUAAACUUGCUUAAUCAUUGAAAAUAUAGUCAAAAACUAUCUGUGUGCUGCUCCCUACAGGUUGAAACAAAGUACUACAGUUGACCUUCGUGAUUGGUCUAACCAUUUAAGUUCCACAUCAUUUCAGAAGUCCCAUGUCAUGAUCUGCUGCUCCAGUAAUGAUAAAAGUCCUGUUCCACAGCCCUGGAUUUUCAAAUUUCGGCUGUGGGCGGAGUCAGCCUCCAACUGUCCUGCUUGGUUACCCUUAAAUAAAAUGAAUUUCUACCAUUCGGAUAGAGUCAUGGGAUCUAUGAUAUUCAUUGUGAGACACAUAUUGCAAUGUGUUGUAUAGCCAAUACACACCCCUACCUCAGCCUAUUGUUGAGAGGGAGGGUUUAAACACAAGUAUGUGCAGCAACAUCUGACACUGGAAGCAGAGAAAAGUUAAUAUCUAAUACAAAUAACACUAAUAAAAUAACAGAAAGGUGCAAACCACCACAACCGCACAGAGAAUGAGAUGAUCGAGAAUCUGCACGCAACCCUCUCGUAGCUCAAAUGCACUGUGCUUAGCUCAAGGCUAAGUCCUGAUGCCCGUUGGCCAAGGCCACAUCAUACAUCGGCUGGUGUUCUUCCAUCGUCUGGUGUUAAGAAAAUUUCGGGGUCCAGUAAAAGAGAGAGGCAAUUGAGCGUCAGAAAGCAGCUGGUUCUCACUAUUCUGUCACACCACAUCACUGGGUGUGGAUGGGCAGCGAUUUGACAUACCACAGCAGCGCAACCACACAGCUAAAAAAAAAACAUAAAAUACAAGAAAAUAACCAUACCUAUAGACAAAAACCCACACCUGUUCAUGCAGCUUCCAGUGGACAGCUUAAAGGAGUCACUGAAGCGGUACAAAAAAAACAAA